rnacentral:rRNA from 1 species
UACGUAGGGACCAAGCGUUGUUCGGAUUUACUGGGCGUAAAGGGCGCGUAGGCGGCUUGACAAGUCACUUGUGAAAUCUCCGGGCUUAACUCGGAACGGCCAAGUGAAAUUGUUGAGCUAGAGUGUAGAAGGGGCAAUCGGAAUUCUUGGUGUAGCGGUGAAAUGCGUAGAUAUCAAGAGGAACACCUGAGGUGAAGACGGGUUGCUGGUCUAACACUGACGCUGAGGCGCGAAAGCCAGGGGGAGCAAACGGG